GUCCACGCUGUAAACGAUGGAUACUAGGUGCUGUGGGUAUUGACCCCUACAGUGCCGCAGCUAACGCAAUAAGUAUCCCGCCUGGGAAGUACGGCCGCAAGGCUAAAACUCAAAGGAAUUGACGGGGGCCCGCACAAGCGGUGGAGCAUGUGGUUCAAUUCGACGCAACGCGAAGAACCUUACCUGGGCUUGACAUUGAUGGAAUCCUGCAGAGAUGCGGGAGUACUCUUCGGAGACCUGAAAACAGGUGCUGCAUGGCUGUCGU
rnacentral:rRNA from 1 species